rnacentral:rRNA from 1 species
CCUACGGGGUGCAGCAGUGAGGAAUAUUGGUCAAUGGCCGGAAGGCUGAACCAGCCAUGCCGCGUGAAGGUCAGUGCCCUAUGGGCGUUAAACUUCUUUUGUGCGGGAGCAAUAAUGGUCACGUGUGGCCAGACGAGAGUAGCGUACGAAUAAGCAUCGGCUAACUACGUGCCAGCAGCGGCGGUAAUACGGGGGAUGCAAGCGUUAUCCGGAUUUAUGGGGUGUAAAGGGUGCGUAAGCCGGGAGGUAAGUCAGAGGUGUAAUGCCCCCGAUCAAAGGGGUGAAGUGCCAUGGAUACUGCCUUUCUUGAAUGCGGAUGCCGUGAGAGGAAUGUGUGGUGUAGCGGUGAAAUGCAUAGAUAUCACACGGAACACCGAUUGCGAAGGCAUCUCACGAAUCCGCGAUUGACGCUGAUGCACGAAAGCGUGGGUAUCAAACAGGAUUAGAUACCCCGGUAGUC